rnacentral:tRNA from 1 species
CUUCGGCGUGGUCGAGGAUCUGGCCGCCUGCGCGGCUGCCGUCCACGAGUCCAAGGGCCUGCUGAUCGUCUCCGUGGCCGAGGC